AGAGUUUGAUCCUGGCUCAGGAUGAACGCUGGCGGCGUGCUUAACACAUGCAAGUCGAACGAACCUUCGGGUUAGUGGCGGACGGGUGAGUAACGCGUGAGAAUCUGCCCUCAGGAGGGGGAUAACGGUUGGAAACGACCGCUAAUACCCCAUAUGCCGAGAGGUGAAAUGAAUUUCGCCUGAGGAUGAGCUCGCGUCUGAUUAGUUAGUUGGUGGGGUAAUGGCCUACCAAGACAUCGAUCAGUAGCUGGUCUGAGAGGAUGAUCAGCCACACUGGGACUGAGACACGGCCCAGACUCCUACGGGAGGCAGCAGUGGGGAAUUUUCCGCAAUGGGCGAAAGCCUGACGGAGCAACGCCGCGUGAGGGAUGAAGGCCUCUGGGCUGUAAACCUCUUUUAUCAAGGAAGAAGAUCUGACGGUACUUGAUGAAUAAGCCACGGCUAAUUCCGUGCCAGCAACCGCGGUAAUACGGGAGUGGCAAGCGUUAUCCGGAAUUAUUGGGCGUAAAGCGUCCGCAGGCGGUCUGUCAAGUCUGCUGUUAAAGCGUGGAGCUUAACUCCAUUUCGGCAGUGGAAACUGACAGACUAGAGUGUGGUAGGGGCAGAGGGAAUUCCCGGUGUAGCGGUGAAAUGCGUAGAUAUCGGGAAGAACACCAGUGGCGAAGGCGCUCUGCUGGGCCAUAACUGACGCUCAUGGACGAAAGCCAGGGGAGCGAAAGGGAUUAGAUACCCCUGUAGUCCUGGCCGUAAACGAUGAACACUAGGUGUCGGGGGAAUCGACCCCCUCGGUGUCGUAGCCAACGCGUUAAGUGUUCCGCCUGGGGAGUACGCACGCAAGUGUGAAACUCAAAGGAAUUGACGGGGGCCCGCACAAGCGGUGGAGUAUGUGGUUUAAUUCGAUGCAACGCGAAGAACCUUACCAGGGUUUGACAUCCUGCGAAUCUCUUGGAAACGAGAGAGUGCCUUCGGGAACGCAGUGACAGGUGGUGCAUGGCUGUCGUCAGCUCGUGUCGUGAGAUGUUGGGUUAAGUCCCGCAACGAGCGCAACCCACGUCGUUAGUUGCCAGCAUUUAGUUGGGCACUCUAGCGAGACCGCCGGUGAUAAACCGGAGGAAGGUGUGGAUGACGUCAAGUCAUCAUGCCCCUUACAUCCUGGGCUACACACGUACUACAAUGCUACGGACAAAGGGCAGCAAACUCGCGAGAGCUAGCAAAUCCCAUAAACCGUGGCUCAGUUCAGAUCGUAGGCUGCAACUCGCCUACGUGAAGGAGGAAUCGCUAGUAAUCGCAGGUCAGCAUACUGCGGUGAAUACGUUCCCGGGCCUUGCACACACCGCCCGUC
rnacentral:rRNA from 1 species